rnacentral:lncRNA from 1 species
AAUUGCGUACGGUAAAAACGCAGCGAAAAAGAAAUCAAACAAAUUUGAUUUUUGAAAACUCUCGAGAUCAAAUCUCAAAAACCACGCAAUUAGGAUCCCUCAUGUUCUUUAAGAUUAAAAGAAAAAAGUAAGAUCGAAUCUUUACCUUAUUCGCGAAUAAAUCUUCACCUCAAUUUGAUGAUCGUGGAAUUCGGUUCUCUUGAAGCCGCACACGCGUCCGGCCUCUAUAGGUAUCCACACGAGGUUCUUGAUUUGAUCGAUGUCCUCACCGGAGUGCUAGCUCCCUUGC